GCUCCACUUUUUUCCUAAAAUCCUUUGGUGCGGAAUGGAUCAUUUUUUUUUUUUUUUCAGAAUCCUUUUGGUAUCUAAUUGUGUUUUAACACCACCACCCAUGCUCUUUCCAGAUUAUCUUUUCCUUCUUUUUUCUUCCAAAUGGAAAAUUUUAAUUCAUAUCAUUAAAUGCAAAAUUCAAAUAGCAACUAAUUGGAUAUGAAUGUGAUUGGAGUCAGAUCCGAAAAACAAGCUUAGAAAAACAAUUAAAAAUUUUCGCAUCCAACAUAUAAGAAAGGAGGAAAAACUCAGCUUAGAAAAAAAAGUCAUCAUUGUUAUCAUCCAAGCCUUAUCCCAAUUACUUGGGGUCAGCUUUUGGAUUUCAUCCAAGCUUAGAAAAAAAAUAAAAAUCCACAUCCAAUAUACAAGGUCGGAACGCUCACCUUGUAUAUUUAUAAGAAAGGUGUGAAAACUCUAUAUUUAAAUGGACCCUUCAAAAAAAAAGAAAAAAACUUUGUCUGAAGGGGUGCCACUUAUCUGAGUUGUCCUAUAAAAAGAGGGACCUUUCAGUAUGGAAGUUUUUUCUUCCUACCUGUAGAGGACCACUCUUUUGGAAUUAGUUUUUAUUGAUUUUUUUUAGUAAAGUCCAUGUUGUAGAGGAUUUUUGUGGUAAAAUCCCUUCUAAAAGCAACUCGAACACAAAAAAUUGUGUGGAUAUUAAUGUCUCCUGGUUUGAGUAGCUUUUCAUGUAUGGUACAAUCUUUGUUCAAUAAUUUACAAGGUUGCAUGGAAAGGGGUGAUUAAAUAGUGUGGGUUCUGUAAAAAGUUCUUUAAUGUGAAGACAUAAAGCGUAAGUUGCUAUUAUGGGUUUGCCCACAAGUGGCAACAUUGUGACACUUAAUGAGUCACUUGACUUCUCCAACUCCAGGGUGAGUUGUGUUAACUGAGUCACUUAUAUGAUUCCCUGGAGUCUCUGGCAUGGGCAGGUUGCUUGAUUCGGCUCGGUAAUUUUGUUGGACCAGCUGUCUUCCAUCUUUGUUUAUGUCCUCCAUUUCUUGUUCAGUGAUUUUAACAUUGUAUGAUAAUUUAUAUAUUUGUCAACAGCAGUAGUAUCAGACGGCAAAAUGAUUUGGAAACUGAGAUUUGGCAAGUCCAAACACCUAUGCAAUAAAGCUCAUGUACAUGCCACACGUGCCAGCAUGGCACAUUGGUGUGGGAUCCAAUCCAUCCGUCAGGUUGGUCCGACCUUCUAAUGUUUUCCCAGAAAAAGAUUUGGUCCACGGGCCUCAAUAUUGGAAACACAUGGAUGUGUUAGAAAGCUUCAGUCAAACUUUUCAGAGCCGCCCAUUUGUUUUGAAAACUGUCUGGUGCCUGACCAGUGGAUCAACCUGAUUCUUAUCAGGCUAGGGCUCAAUAUAGUGGUUCAAUUCUAGCUGAUGGAUUCGAUCUCAGACCUGUCAUGUGAGGCGUGUGGAUGAGCUUUAUUGCACACACUUGUGGGCUUGGAAAAUCUCAUGGAAAGUGCCAAGGGAAAUGGUGUAAUCUGGCAAGUUGGAUUGUCUGACAGCCAUCCCCUCAGGCAUUGAAUAACCCCGUAAAUGGGGCCUACUAUUCUCCUGGCCACCAGGUCAUUAACCGAACAGUGAAAGGUUAGGUAGCAUCUGGUGUCAGAUAAUCAAAGUGACUCUAUUCUACUUUUUUUCAAUACAUGGCAAUGGGAAAGAAUGCAUGACAAUAAAAUAAUAGUGUUGUUAUGCUGAAUUUUGUUUCUUUAUAUUAUUUGAUGAUUAGGAAUUCUAUUUGCAGACAUGCAUGCAGAUGUGCCAUUCCCAAGAGCCCCAAAUGUGCUGACAUUAUAUGUAUGUGUGAGAUUUGAGAGGUCAUCAGGUGCAGGCAAAUGUGUCCAAAUAAAAACUUACAUGCUCAAUUAGCUACUAUUUCUUGGGUUUGGGUUGGGUGUAGUUGGGUCCAUUUUAGUAUAACCCAAAUUGGACCCAUAUAAAAAUUGGGUCCCUUUUGGGUCAGGUUGGGUUGAUCUUGAGAGGACACUGACCCUGUCCAUUUAGAAAUUUGGGUCAAAAGUUUUGGACAUGCCUGCUCCAUGGGUCUAAAAUUUGGACCCAGACUUGCUAAUUGUGGGGUCGGUCCAAUGACCCGCUGUGUCAACCUGUGCCCAUUUGCACCUCUAGUACCAACAGCAGUUUUGGGCUUAUGUAAUAUUCAGUGUGGGACCUGCCUGAUGAACUGGAGUUUUGCAUCUGUGUGGCUUGUUGGCAUAUCAGGGGUGUUUGUGUUUGGAGUGUUCAGUCCUCUGUAUGUGCCUUUGUUUACUGCUUGUCAAUUUAUUGCCUGUGUUGCAUGCCUCUGCCUCUGUAUUUAGUAAUUUUUACUGUUUCUGAAGAAAUCGUGUGGAACUUCUUAGUAACAUGUGAGGCAAUUUGUGUGCAAAUUCCUUUGUGGGCCCAGGAUGGUCCGCCUAUGAUCACCAUUCUGUUGGAUGUUGAGUCCAGCUGGAUUGCCUGUGAACUCAAUCACCAUGGUCAGUUUAAGGCAAUCCAAGGGCAUGCAGAUGGGCAUACUGUCCUUUUUGCAAGCCCCUAAUCUUAUGGUUGUAAUAAUCUGAUCUGGGGGGCGUUAGAUGAUCAUCUGCACUGGUCAUCAGCAAACCAUGGCAGGUCCCAUCAAUUCAAUUGUCCAACAUGUUCAUGAUGUGCCCAUCCAGAGUGAAGUUUGCACCAUAAUAAGGCAAGAACUCUUGCUGAACUGAUGGUUAUAUCAGAAGAAGGAUUUUAUUUAUUUAUU